UCUUCUUCCUCACGCAUCCGCCCCUCCCCCCCUGCUCGUUUCAGCCGCACAUCGAACUCCCCUUCGCAACCCACCGCAUCUAGCCGCUCAGCGCUCUGGUGCCACCCAGUCAUCCGAUACUCGUUCCCACGUGCCGAAGCCCUUCGACUGUCACAGAUCUGCAUAUGCCAAUCGCGCCUGGGUAGUGAAGCUGUCGAACAUACCAGAUCUGAAGCGCGGUUGAGUCGGCCAGCCGCGUCCGCCUCACCGUCCCUUUCUUCAGCGCCAGCCACUCCCUCAUCCAGUCAAGUUGCUCAUUUAGAUCUUCUCCGCCACCCGAGCUCAGUAGCCGAUCUCUACCGCUGCUCGCCACUGAUCUUGACCAGUUGGCCAACCGCAUCCGUCCAAGCGUCACCCUACUCGUUCAGCCACCGCAGUUCAGUCCCUCGACUGUGUCUCUGGUAUUUGGCUGAAUGUUUGUUGGGUUAGAUUGGAGUUUUGAGAAAAUUCUGAGGUGUUGUCCAGCUUCAUGGAAGGGAAAAUUUUGGUAUGUGUUGAUCCAAGAUUGGAGUAGUUUGGAGUGCGCAACGUGCUGUUCAACGGGUUCGAGUUCGUGUCCAACAAUAAAUUUGGUUUAAGGUCGCUAUCGAUCAGAAUUAGAGGUUUCUUUUCUUGGUGAAUUUUAUGGAGAUUUUGGAGCCAAAUUCUAGAAGUGACCGUUGAUCAAGCCACACUUUAGGCGAACAUGCAAAGAAGAACACUGUAUGACUUGCAGCUCAUGCUUGGAGUUAAUGAAGAUGAGGAAAUAGGUUUUGUGUGAGCAUGAAGGAGAUGGUAGCAUCGCUUAGGUGAUCAGAGGGCUACCGGGGUCAGAUGUGGCCAGAGUAUACCGGGAAGUCCAGAGGAACCUGCGUCUGUAGCGCCACCCAGGCUAUCAAGGGGCUAUCACCGGGGUCAGAUGUGGCCAGAGUAUACCGGGGAGUCCAGAGUAACCUGGUCCUAUGGUGUGUAUUUAUGCUUAGUCUUGAGGCAGCUCUGCGUGCACGUAUGACUUUGUGAUUUGGUUUAAACCAAAGGGGGCAUUCUUUGUCCAUAGUAACCCACUGUUGUAAACGAGUAUUUGGGUACAGAG